rnacentral:rRNA from 1 species
CGACUCUCAGCAACGGAUAUCUCGGCUCACGCAUCGAUGAAGAACGUAGCAAAAUGCGAUACUUGGUGUGAAUUGCAGAAUCCCGUGAACCAUCGAGUUUUUGAACGCAAGUUGCGCCCGAAGCCAUUCGGUUGAGGGCACGUCCGCCUGGGCGUCACG